rnacentral:rRNA from 1 species
GACGGAGGGUGCAAGCGUUGUUCGGAAUUAUUGGGCGUAAAGAGCUCGUAGGCGGUCUGUCACGUCGGCUGUGAAAACCCGAGGCUCAACCUCGGGCCUGCAGUCGAUACGGGGCAAACUAGAGUACUGCAGGGGGAGACUGGAAUUCCUGGUGUAGCGGUGAAAAUGCGCAGAUAUCAGGGAGGGAAACACCCGGUUGGGCGAAAGGGCGGGUUUCUCCUGGGGCAUGACCCUGA